rnacentral:piRNA from 1 species
UAACUGAAAAAGGUGAUCCGCCCAGAAG